GAGUUUGAUCUUGGCUCAGAUUGAACGCUGGCGGAAUGCUUUACACAUGCAAGUCGAGCGGCAGCGCGGGGCAACCUGGCGGCGAGCGGCGAACGGGUGAGUAAUGCAUCGGAACAUGUCCAUGCCGUGGGGGAUAGCCCGGCGAAAGCCGGAUUAAUACCGCAUACGCCCGAGAGGGGAAAGUGGGGGACCGCAAGGCCUCACGCGAUUGGGUUGGCCGAUAUCCGAUUAGCUAGUUGGCGGGGUAAUGGCCCACCAAGGCGAUGAUCGGUAGCUGGUCUGAGAGGAUGAUCAGCCACACUGGGACUGAGACACGGCCCAGACUCCUACGGGAGGCAGCAGUGGGGAAUUUUGGACAAUGGGGGCAACCCUGAUCCAGCCAUUCCGCGUGAGUGAAGAAGGCC
rnacentral:rRNA from 1 species